rnacentral:rRNA from 1 species
UACGAAGGGGCUAGCGUUGCUCGGAAUUACUGGGCGUAAAGCGCACGUAGGCGGAUUGUUAAGUCGGGGGUGAAAUCCUGGAGCUCAACUCCAGAACUGCCUUCGAUACUGGCGAUCUCGAGUUCGGGAGAGGUGAGUGGAACUGCGAGUGUAGAGGUGAAAUUCGUAGAUAUUCGCAAGAACACCAGUGGCGAAGGCGGCUCACUGGCCCGAUACUGACGCUGAGGUGCGAAAGCGAGGGGAGCGUAGAGGAA